rnacentral:lncRNA from 1 species
GUAUGCAUCAGCCCCCGAUUGAUACGGCCACAGAGUAGGUGGACACCUGCAUGCCUCAGUUUCCUCACGGAAGAAGCAGAGAUGCGUUCACAGGGAACCACGUAAGGAGCUUCUAGAUACAAGCCUCACCCCUGAGGACAAAACUGACUUUCCUCAGGACCCAAAAGUCCCGGGGAUUUUGGUUUCUUUAUGGCCGGGAGUCAGGAAAGACCCUGCCUGCCCAGUGGCGAGGACACGUGGCCUCUCCUUCUCUGCUUCCUCGGGACAGGAAAUGGCAGGCAGCACCUCGCUUUAAUCCAUGUCCAGCCCAACACCCCUUCCUAUGUUGGAAAACUCAUAGAAUCCAUCCGGGGAAGAAAAGGUGCUGCAGUUCCAGUUGCAACGACACCCUCUGUUCACUGCUGCCCGGGCCCUGUGGCACUGGAAAACAAAAGAGAGCAAGAGAGAAGACAGUGGGUGAAGUCCUGGUUCCAGACUCCCCUUUUUGCCGGGAUAUGAUGGAUCUGUCAGCUGGUGCCUAGAGUCCUAGAGAGCUAGAGAUGGAGGGAAAUUCAGAUCAUCUAAACCCUUCAGCCCUUCACUGGACAGAAGAGGAAACUGAGGCUCCAUCUGCAUGACGUUCCCAGAGUCACGGCACAAAUUCAUGGAAGAAGCAGCAGGAAACUCAGUUCUCCAGUCUGGGUCCAAUGUGUGUUUUAGAAAUAUCUCCACAGGGUUAAUGACUCAAUUUUUCAUGCAUGAUUGCUAGUAAUGACAAUCAUGUUAUGUUUGUUUCUGUAGCUUUGGAAAUCACUCCUUCCACUUGAGUUUCAGGUCCCAACUGUCCACACCUGCAGGAGUGAGGUUUUGCUGAGACUGAUAAGGCACUCACAUUUUGUGGGAGUUGAAUUGUCUCUGUAGCCUAGAAUCUAGAUUUUUUUCCCUCCUCUGCUCUCAGUGAACGGAGAAUUCCAUCUCGGUACAAUCUGUGAACCAUUCUGCAGUAAGAUUGUCAUCGUCUCAUUCAUACUACCUGGUCGGUAACACAAAGGGCUGUAAUUGAUGUGGUUCAGAGACUCACAUCCAAGCAAUAAAAAUGAAUCCCUUAUGGUGGUCUGCAGCAACGCAAA